UCACAGACCUACAGCAAGGUGUGUACAGGAGCUCCAAAGUAGCUAUAGAAGUAGCCUGAUUCAGUACAAUUGCAUAUGAAAAACCAGAUUUGGAAGUUUUGGAGGAGGUCAAAAGUAUGGAUGAUGAAUAUGAUGAUGACUUUGAUGUUGGUCAUAUGAACCAAAGUUUCUAUGACAAUGAAAUGGAGGAAAAUCAACCAAUACAGACACAGGGAAUGCAGAUAUCCUUGAUUCAGAUGAUGAAGAGAGCAGCAAUGGUGAAACCUAUUGGAUGAAAUGCCAGGACUGACUGCCAUUCAGUGUUGGAAAUUGUAACAGAUGAAAUACUACAAGAUGCUGUGAAAUACACAAAUGCUGAAAUACAAUUAAAACAUUCUCUGUGCACCAACAGCCAUACUCAAAACAGUAUUUAUUAUGAUAUCUCAGUAGCUGAACUGAAAGCAUUCAUAGGUCUACUAUACUUAGCAG
rnacentral:lncRNA from 1 species